UGGGGAAUCUUGCGCAAUGGGCGAAAGCCUGACGCAGCAACGCCGCGUGGAGGAUGGAGGCCCUUGGGUUGUAAACUCCUGUCGGCUGGGAAGAACUCGUACGAUGCUCAUACCAUCGUGCGUUGACUGUCCCGCACGAAUAAGCCCCGGCUAACUUCGUGCCAGCAGCCGCGGUAAUACGAAGGGGGCUAGCGUUGCUCGGAAUCACUGGGCGUAAAGCGCACGUAGGCGGACUCUUAAGUCGGUGGUGAAAUCCUGGAGCUCAACUCCAGAACUGCCUUCGAUACUGGGAGUCUCGAGUUCGGGAGAGGUGAGUGGAACUGCGAGUGUAGAGGUGAAAUUCGUAGAUAUUCGCAAGAACACCAGUGGCGAAGGCGGCUCACUGGCCCGAUACUGACGCUGAGGUGCGAAAGCGUGGGGAGCAAAC
rnacentral:rRNA from 1 species